UUAAUUUUUUUAUAAUUUAUAAUUAAUAAUAAUAUUAUUAUUAUUUAAUAUUCACAUAUAUAUGCAGGGUGCGAGUGUUGGACGGUGGUGUUGAUAACAGCAGCAACAACUGUUCUUCUUCCUCCCGCAAUUGCUAAUCUCAGGCCUCAAAUCCUCCCAUUUCAAUGCCUCUCUAGGUAUAGGUUUUCCAAAACGCUUUAGUUUAAGCUCUCAAAUUGAUCAAUUGGUGACCAACUUGGAAUUGAACUUGUUGGCUUCUGUUUCAAGCUUCUUCAUGCCUCGCGAAGUGGCUGUAAUUCUACUGAAUUAGAGCAGAGAUCAUGGUAAAGGUUUUCCUUCCUUCAUUUAUCUAAGAUACUAAUUCUGCAUUUCUUGAGAUAAUUUUGCAAAACUACGGAUUCUUCUUGGUUCAGAAUUUCCUAAUCGGAGAUUUCAAGCCGCCAUAUAACGUUUCAGUCACUUUUGCUGAUGGAAGAACUCGCAAGCAGAUGUUUGGAUGAAGUUCUAAGGCAUAGGAGUGCAAAAGAAAGCUUCGAAAGAUCAAAGGAAAGAGAAGUGUUGCUGAUACACUUUACACGGGUCGUGUAAGCAAAGCCACAGACCUGUGUAACAUACUGCCAGGAGAAAACUAAAGAGCCAAGGAAGAAACGAAGUAUACGGGCCGCGUACCCCAACCCGUGUAAACCAUGAAGACCCGUGUAAGUCUCUGCUUGGCCCGAAUUGAAGAAUUCUCUGAAGAGCAAAAGAACACGAGUCGUGUAUUUGGACCUGUGUAAUUAGCAAUGCCCCCUGUAAUCUCCUGUGCCAAUAUGAGAUGCAAUCUUUGAAGCUCCAAUGAAUUACACGGCCCUAAGCCGUGUAUCAGCUGAUAGCCAGUUUCCUGAUUUAGCUCUAGCUCCGGUUUUUAAUAGAGAGAAAAGACUUCUAAUGCUGCGGGGACUCUAAAAACCUAACCCUAGGCAUUGAAUAUAAAUAGAAGUAGCAGAGAGCAAAAAGGGGGAUCUAGAGCCGAACGAUAACACCUUCAUCAUUUUCCCAUAGCCACCUAGAAGAGUAGUGUAUCAGUAUCAAGGAGGAGCCUUCAGCUGAAGUUCCACAAGAUCAAAGUUGCAGAUUCUCUUUAGUUCUUUUGUUCUAUCACUUUAAGCGGACUUCUAUUGUUCUUUUAUUUUAUUUUUAUUAUGUUUGCUGAACUUACUAUAAGUGAGUAAUUUCAAUAUUCUGGAAUUAGGAGAGUAAUGCUUGUAAUCAUUAUCAUGGACAAAUAUUGAGAUUUAUUUAUUGGAUUUGAGAUUUAUUCCUUGAUUUAA